rnacentral:rRNA from 1 species
UACAGAGGGGGUGAGCGUUAUUCGGAAUUACUGGGCGUAAAGGGCUCGUAGGCGGCCAACUAAGUCAGACGUGAAAUCCCCAGGCUCAACCUGGGAACUGCGUCUGAUACUGGAUGGCUUGAAUCCGGGAGAGGGAUGCAGAAUUCCAGGUGUAGCGGUGAAAUGCGUAGAUAUCUGGAGGAAUACCGGUGGCGAAGGCGGCAUCCUGGACCGGCAUUGACGCUGAGGAGCGAAAGCCAGGGGAGCAAACGGG